GACGAACGCUGGCGGCGUGCUUAACACAUGCAAGUCGAACGGAAAGGCCCUGCUUUUGUGGGGUGCUCGAGUGGCGAACGGGUGAGUAACACGUGAGUAACCUGCCCUUGACUUUGGGAUAACUUCAGGAAACUGGGGCUAAUACCGGAUAGGAGCUCCUGCUGCAUGGUGGGGGUUGGAAAGUUUCGGCGGUCGGGGAUGGACUCGCGGCUUAUCAGCUUGUUGGUGGGGUAGUGGCUUACCAAGGCUUUGACGGGUAGCCGGCCUGGGAGGGUGACCGGCGACAAUGGGCCUGAGAUACGCAGCAGACUGCUACGGGAGGCAGCAGGCGGGAAUAUGGCACAGUGGGAGGGAGUGUGAUGCAGCGGCGCCGCGGUCGGGAUGACGGCCUGCGGGUUGUGAACAGCUUUCGCCUGAGACGAAGCGUGAGUGACGGUAAUGGGUGAAGAAGCACCGGCUAACUACGUG
rnacentral:rRNA from 1 species